rnacentral:rRNA from 1 species
CGAGCGAACGGACGAGAAGCUUGCUUCUCUGAUGUUAGCGGCGGACGGGUGAGUAACACGUGGAUAACCUACCUAUAAGACUGGGAUAACUUCGGGAAACCGGAGCUAAUACCGGAUAAUAUUUUGAACCGCAUGGUUCAAAAGUGAAAGACGGUCUUGCUGUCACUUAUAGAUGGAUCCGCGCUGCAUUAGCUAGUUGGUAAGGUAACGGCUUACCAAGGCAACGAUGCAUAGCCGACCUGAGAGGGUGAUCGGCCACACUGGAACUGAGACACGGUCCAGACUCCUACGGGAGGCAGCAGUAGGGAAUCUUCCGCAAUGGGCGAAAGCCUGACGGAGCAACGCCGCGUGAGUGAUGAAGGUCUUCGGAUCGUAAAACUCUGUUAUUAGGGAAGAACAUAUGUGUAAGUAACUGUGCACAUCUUGACGGUACCUAAUCAGAAAGCCACGGCUAACUACGUGCCAGCAGCCGCGGUAAUACGUAGGUGGCAAGCGUUAUCCGGAAUUAUUGGGCGUAAAGCGCGCGUAGGCGGUUUUUUAAGUCUGAUGUGAAAGCCCACGGCUCAACCGUGGAGGGUCAUUGGAAACUGGAAAACUUGAGUGCAGAAGAGGAAAGUGGAAUUCCAUGUGUAGCGGUGAAAUGCGCAGAGAUAUGGAGGAACACCAGUGGCGAAGGCGACUUUCUGGUCUGUAACUGACGCUGAUGUGCGAAAGCGUGGGGAUCAAACAGGAUU